CAUGUCCUUUUGAUAAUAAUUUAAGGUCUAAUCUGCCCACUGAAAAUUUAAAUGGCCGCAGUAAUUUGACUGUGCUAAGGUAGCAUAAUAAUUAGUUUUUUAAUUGAAAGCUGGAAUGAAUGAUUGGAUGAGAUAAUAACUGUUUCAAUUUAAAUUAUAGAAUUUUAUUUUUAAGUUAAAAAGCUUAAAUUUUAUUAAAAGACGAGAAGACCCUAUAGAGUUUAAUAUUUAAAUUUAAUUUAAAUUUAUUUUUAAUAAAAAUUAUUUUAUUUUUAAUUAUUUGGUUGGGGUGACAAAAAAAUUUAUUAAACUUUUUUAUUUUUAAACAUUGAUAUAUGAUUAGUUGAUCCAUUUUUUAUGAUUAUAAGAUUAAAUUACCUUAGGGAUAACAGCGUUAUUAUUUUUGAGAGUUCAUAUCGAAAAAAUAGAUUGCGACCUCGAUGUUGGAUUAAAGUUAAGUUUUGGUGUAGAAGCUAAAAUUUUAAGUCUGUUCGACUUUUAAAACUUUACAUGAUCUGAGU
rnacentral:rRNA from 1 species